rnacentral:lncRNA from 1 species
GGGGAGGGGGCCUGGAUUCCACCUGGUGAUGGCAAAGGAGUCAAGUCACGGCACGAGAUGGGAGCGAUUGCCAUGGCCAUCUUUGUAAGAUGGAAUCUGCCACGGCGGUAUUUUAUUCUAUUCUAUUCUAACAUCAGCGAUAGAAAAGGCAGGAUGACAAGAUUUGGAGAGCAAGGGAGAAAUUGGAACAGUAACAAGAAGGACAUGUUGAUCACAGUGGCUAAGGCAGGCAGGAGCUGAAUCCAGCUAGGAAGCUCCCAAUUAAAUUGUCCGCCCAACUUUGGUACCAAACUGAGACUUUUAACUCUACACCUUGAAAUUAAUUUCUAUUUGCCCCUUUGUCUCCUCACGUCAUGAGCAUCUACUGUGGACCAACUGCACCCUGGGUGUGAGGUGAGCACCCGAUGGGCGUGCUGUCCCGUGAGGAGUUUUCUCCACCAUCUGGAGAAGCUUCUGGAAGUUUCCUGAAGUCUCCUUUCAAGAGCAAGGAGAGAGUUGGAAGCCGUCUUGGCGCAGAUGCUGACUGUCCGGCCCGGGAAGGGUGGGCUGCAGCUGGCCUGGCUCGGGGGCUCCCCUCUCCUGGGGUCUCUCCAGGUCACCAUGUUGUCCUUCAGCCACAGGCUGUCCUGAAGUAACUGUGGCAGCUCUGGACCUCUCCGUGUCUGGCGAUGACCAGAGGAAGACAAAUGGGCCCUCUCACCUCCAGAUGCUUCUCGGGGGCCCGGAAAGAGUCUCCAGGGAGCCCCAGCAAACGGCGCCUCGGGAUCUUCUGCUGAGGAGGCCUGAGGCCCCCGGGAGCCGCAUCUGAGAAGGGGCUGCGAUGGCCUUUCACAGGCGGCCUUACCUGGGCGUGCGGGCGCGUGGGAGACGGGGCGCCUGAACCAAAUCCCCCGAGGACGGAGGCCACAAUGCUGUCAAGGACACGUGGGCGGGAGCCUGAGCCGGAGAGGGCUGGCUUGGUCAGAGCAGGGGAGCCGCUCUCCUGUCAGUGCUCCAUCCCCGGCCCUGGGCCCUGGCCUCUCGGUGACACACGCCCUCAUGCACGCUCACAUGACCUCACACUCUCUCACACACACUUACACACACACGCAUCCUCUCUUCCCUCCAGCCACUCCCUGAGCUGACACUCUUUCUAGCAUGAUGGGCUCACUCUCCCGGGGUCACAGCCUCCUGAAAUUUGUCUCCAGAGAUGCCAGCAAGGGGCCAUGAUGGAGUGCAAGGCCCGAGCACAGUGUCAGUCUCCACACGUUGAUGUCCCAGCCCGGUCCACACCCACUGGGCCCAGGCCGGCGGUGAGCCCGGAUCUGCCGUCCAUACCACUGCCCUGUGCCCUGACCCUUAAGGGGAAGCUUCCUCCAUCAUUGACCACGGACACCCUGUGGGUGGCCCCAGGACCACAUACUCACUAGUAUAAUUUAAAGCAGUGUAAUAAAGCAUGAUCUUCCUAAACA